CAGAAGAUGUAUUUAAUUUGAAUUCAGUUGAUAUGAAUAAUAAGGACAUAAUACUAACAGAGUGUGGUAUUUUGCCGUCCAGUUCUGAAAAUAGGGAAAUUUGUUCCACACAUUUUUCUCUGACGUUGAAACAAAACAGUGACUGAGUGAUGUACGUACGAAGAAGAAAUUUGGUGUCAAAUGCCAUUCCUUAUUUUAAAAAAAUCUGGUGAAUCAUAAUUCAUUCCAUGAGAAGCAGAAAUCCAACAGACUGAUCCCAGUCAAUGGUGUACUCAAAAUACACAGAGGCUAGAGCACUUGUUCUUCCUGGAACCUCUCUAUGCACCAGCCUGUCUGAUGAAGUUGAAUGCUCAAACAAUAUGAAGAGGAUGAAAAUCUAGCAGACAAUCAAAACAGGAAAUAUGAUCAGGCUCAGCCACACCUUAAUGAACAUAAAGAGCUACUUCAUUCAAGGCCAUGAUAUGUUCUAACAGCUGAUUCGAUGAAAGAGGUAAUUGAACAAUCUCUUAAAACUGUCAAGUAAAGAGUCAGAGCAAUUGUAGAUACAUGCACAGAAAAUGAAGAAAAAACUCUACUUAAACCAUGGCUUCGAUAUCAACAUAAAAUAACUUCUUUUCUCAAGUAUAUCUCUUUCCCAAGUAUUCCAAAAGUGGAUCUUUAUCAAAUUCAAAGUGAAGUAUCACAGGG